UGCCUAUGAUGAGUUGCCAUGCUAAUACCGACGCAGCAGUGAGGAGCUUAAGUGUUCUGUGCUGGGUGUGGCUGAGUGUAACCAACUUACUGAGGCAU